AUUGAACGCUGGCGGCAUGCCUUACACAUGCAAGUCGAACGGCAGCACGGGAGCAAUCCUGGUGGCGAGUGGCGAACGGGUGAGUAAUACAUCGGAACGUGCCCAGUAGUGGGGGAUAACUGCUCGAAAGAGCAGCUAAUACCGCAUACGACCUGAGGGUGAAAGCGGGGGAUCGCAAGACCUCGCGCUAUUGGAGCGGCCGAUGUCAGAUUAGCUAGUUGGUGGGGUAAAGGCCUACCAAGGCGACGAUCUGUAGUUGGUCUGAGAGGACGACCAGCCACACUGGGACUGAGACACGGCCCAGACUCCUACGGGAGGCAGCAGUGGGGAAUUUUGGACAAUGGGGGCAACCCUGAUCCAGCAAUGCCGCGUGCAGGAAGAAGGCCUUCGGGUUGUAAACUGCUUUUGUCAGGGAAGAAAUCCUCUGGGUUAAUACCUCGGGGGGAUGACGGUACCUGAAGAAUAAGCACCGGCUAACUACGUGCCAGCCGCCGCGGUAAGAC
rnacentral:rRNA from 1 species